ensembl:lncRNA
UGUACAGAAUAAUACAAGUUAAUUUAAAGUAUAUUAUUGUUUAUUUUAUUUGAAUUAUUAUUAUUAUUUAUUUAUUCUUUUUGCCAACCCCCAUAAUCCCAUGCCCAAACAUAAUGCAACGCGUGACAUCGCGCUAUUGCGCCAUUUUUGCGAUUACUUGGCGGUCUUUUUUUGAAUCGGCAUCAAUUUAUCAGGCGGCCUGCAGUGCACUUACAGCUCGAACUGUGGUGAGUAUAUCUGGAAAUUAUAUCAUGUAAUGUAAGUGUUUAUGCCCCCUAUAUAAUGAUAUUACUUGUAAUACGUAUCAAAUACAUCGAAGUGUUUUAGCUGUAAGACGAUGGGUAGAGAUAAUUAAUUAGAAAAUGGAAACGUUAACUGUUAUAUCCCUGAAAUAACGCCUGAGUCACUAAAGCCAUCUAGCGCUGAAAAACAGUUCAAAUAAAGUUUAAACUUAAGACGUAUGUUUUUAAUUAUUAUAUUAUUAUUGUUUCGGAUAAUUUAACGUUAAGCUUUUCAUCAUGAAAUUCCAUCGAUUCGAUGCUUUUCUUUCCUUCAAUUGUGUCAUGCGAAUUAGUUAUGCAGAUGUUUAUAGUAACUUAAUAUUUUUGCUGUACAAGUUGUUUAAUUAAUUUGGGAGUAAUUAGGCUAUCUCCUUUAGCUGUCAGAUUUCUACACAGGAUGUAAAAGAGGCUCCUUUUUUUAUUAAUUUAAGCAAAAACAGCCUUUUCUACUACAAGCUCUAGUUUUAUAUUUGGGGUUCAAGUUUAUCACUGAGGUCUAUUAUAGUAUUUAAUAUUGUGUGAUUUCAGGUGUUGUGGAGCUAUACUAUAUGAGGUUAUAACAUUUGUUUUGUUUUUGCUUUUAUCUCCUUGCCAUGGUCUGAAGAAGCCAUAUUAUUGUAAGGUUGAUGACAAAUGAGGUCAUGGCCUGUUUCAGUAUGAAGUGGGGGAAGGGGAAGCUUGCCUUCACCAAGAUCAAUCUGUACACUGUUGUCACAGAGAGUGUCCAGAAAACAUCAAAAGAGACGGGGCAAAUAUUGCAGCGGCCACCGCCUUUUGUUUAAAAUAUGCCCCAGCAGAGCCGUCGCAAGGAGGGUGAGAGGCCCUGUGCAAAGUUGACAUGCGAGGCCCUCUACAAUUUUGCGUGUGUGUGUGUGUGUGUGUGUGUGUGGUGGGGGAGGUUGCUGUAGUAAGGCAAGGCAAGUUUAUUUAUAUAGCAGAUUUCGUACACAAUGGUAAUUCAAAGUGCUUUACAUAAAAAAAAAGUAAAAUAAUCAUGAAGAACAAAACUAAAACAAGCAAUUUUAAAACUUUGGAAAUGAUUUAAAAAUUGACUUGAAUUUAAAACAGUUAGAAAUAGAAAAUGAUUUUUACAUAAAAAUACAGUGAAUACGUAAAAUACAGUGCAAUCAGGUCGGACAUCGCACAGUGCUCAUUAAAUAAAUGCACAGCUAAACAGAUGAGUUUUUGAGUCUAGAUUUAAAUGUGACUAGUGUUUUAGCACAUCUGAUCUCUUCUGGAAGCUGAUUCUGGAAGCAAUGUAUUUUGGUCCUAGGUCACUGAGUGACUUCUAGACGAGUAAAAGUACUUUAAAAUCAAUCCUAAAUGUAACUGGAAGCCAGUGUAAGGACCUGAGGACUGAUGUGAUGUGCUCAGAUGUUCUGGUUCUAGUCAGAAUCCUGGCAGCAGCGUUCUGGAUGAGCUGCAUCAUUUUUGAAAAAAGAUGUGGGAAGUGUGUCAAGAUAGCAAGUUGACGAUUUUAGUUGCUGCACUAUGUCUUCCAAAAUGUUGCUAUCAAUUGCUUCAGAAUAGACAGUAUCUUUUUGAUAUUGCAGCCGAAUCUGUCUGACCUCUGCAUUGCUUGAGGAUGUGCUAAUCGCCUUCCUGAUAUUGAUGAUCUUCUCAGAAAAGAAGGAAGCAAACUCAUUGCAUUUGCAGUCUGACAGCAUUUCACUGGGAAUCUGACUCUGGGAAACUGAUUUCUGUCUGUUUGUUUUUCUUACUGACUAUUAUUGGAGCAAUAUCAUUAAUACCAUUCUUAACUUUUGAGUUAAAGGAAUCAAGGAGAAUAUCAACAGAGUCCGCAAAAAUACUUAGUGUUAAAGAUAUAGCCUCCAUAAAUAGUACACUAGUGUUCUCGUUAGGUCUGCACUAUUAAUCGCAUGCAAUUGUCAUGCGCGUCUCGUCAGUAAAGCUGGUUCUGUGAUUAGCGCUUAAUGUCCAGAGCCGUAGUUCGCUGGACGCAAUAUCACGUUCAUAACCGCAUGCGAUUCAUCUGCGAUUAUGAACGCGAUAUUGCGCCGCUUGUCAGCAAACUACGGCUCGGUCUAUUAAGUGCAGCUACAUUUGAAAGCAUCUCCUUCUGACAGAGACAGAUCUAGAUUCAGUGGUAGCAGAGAUCAAUAUAUCAAAGAAAAUACAGAAGUGAUCAGAUAGUGCUACGUCCUUAAUAACAAUGGGUGAGAUGUUUAGAGCCCUACUGAUGAUUAAAUCUAGAGUGUGUCCACCCUUGUGUGUGGGUCCAUGCACAUGCUGAAUCAGGUCAAAAGUGUUUAGAACCGUUAUCAUUUCUUUUUGUAGUUUUUGUUUUCUGCAUUAUCUAUGUGAAUAUUAAAAUCCCCUGCAAUAGCAAAACAGUCAAACUCUGAGGAAAUCAUUGAUAACAUUUCUGUGACCUCUUCAACAAAGGCUGGAGAGUAUUUUGGAGGCCUGUAAAUAAUGAUAAACAGAAUGCAUGGAGCACCUUUCAGCACAAUUCCUAGAUAUUCAAAAGACAAGUACUGACCAAAUGACACUUGCUUGCAUUGAUAGACAUCUUUAAAUAGAGCAGCUACACCUCCACCUCUCCUAACAGUCCUGCACACACUCAUGAAAGUAAAGUUAGGAGGGGUGCUUCAUUGAGGACUGUUGUACUGCAGCUGUCUUCUAGCCAUGUUUCAUUUAGAAACAUAAAAUCCAGAUUGUUUGUGGUUAUAAAGUCAUUGAUUAGAAAAUGAUUAAUUUUUUAGUGAGCGAAUGUUUAAAGAUGCUAACUUGAUGGCAGUGAUUUAUGUCAUUACAUCAAUUUUUAGUUUGAUGCAUAAUAGGCUGCAGAUUAGAUGAGUUUGCCCUUCGGCUUGAGAUGGACUUAAACUUUCUGUCACAUGAUAAAACUGAAAUAGAGAAAGCUACAGGCACACUGGGUUCCCGCUUGUUCUGUAAACAUUUGUGAAUGUUGCUGCUAUUAUAGCGGGGACCCGACACAUAUCACUGAGAGCUGCUAUCAGCUGUUUUUGGCUCACCUACAGCAGAUGGAGGGUUGGGGCCCUGGCAUUGUGGCAGCGGUCGGAGAGCUCUCACAGGAGCAGGGCCCACAGGCUUUGGUGUUUGGGGGCCUGCUGUUUUCUUGUUGAUAUCUGCGGGCUUGCAACGAAUGAGUGUGAGAGUUUAGUCCCAGCAUACACCAAUUCUACCAUUUUUCUGUGAAAAGCACAGAAGUGGAGAUGCUGGAGAGAGGGAUAAUGUGUCUGGUGAGCGGGGCUGUGUCUCUGGUGUUUCCGGUGACUGUGAUAUGUUGUCUUGGCUUCCCGGCUGUCUUCCAGAAAGUCAUCCUUGAGUGCUGAGUCUUGUAGCUGUUUUGAUACAUCACAGUCUGUCUGUGAGGAGCUCUGAGGGCAGGGCUCGGCCGGGAUGGUGUCCAUCAGCAGUGCUUAUUGUGGCUGCAUGGUGUUAUCAGUUGGGAGUGGUCCACUGAUGAACUUUGAGUCUUCAAAGUGUUUGAAAAAGGUUCACUAAAGUCCUUCUUAAGGGGUUCUGACUGCUCUUUC